UACGGGGGGAGCAAGCGUUGUUCGGAUUUCCUGGGCGUAAAGGGCGCGUAGGCGGCCUGUGCAAGUCAGUUGUGAAAUCUCCGAGCUUAACUCGGAACGGUCAACUGAUACUGCUCGGCUAGAGUGCGGAAGGGGCAACUGGAAUUCUUGGUGUAGCGGUGAAAUGCGUAGAUAUCAAGAGGAACACCUGCGGCGAAGGCGAGUCUCUGGACGACUCCUGACACUGAGGCACGAAAGCUAGGGGAGCAAACAGG
rnacentral:rRNA from 1 species